rnacentral:rRNA from 1 species
AUACGUAGGGGCCUGACGUUGUUCGGAAUCAUUGGGCGUAAAGGGCGCGCAGGCGGCCGUCCAAGUCCGGUGUUAAAUGGUCGGGCUCAACCCGAUCAUGCGCUGGAAACUGGGCGGCUUGAGUCCCGUAGGGGAUGCCGGAAUUCCAGGUGUAGGGGUGAAAUCUGUAGAUAUCUGGAAGAACACCGAUGGCGAAGGCAUGCAUCUGGCCGGAGGCUGACGCGGUGGCGCGAAGGCGCGCGGAGAGAACAGGUUUAGAUGCCCUGGUAGGCCGCGCAGUAGACGAUGCUCACCGGGUGUCGGGCAGCAGCGCCCGGUACCGUAGCUAACGUGAUGAGUGCGACGCCUGGGGAGUAUGCCCUCAAGGCGGAGACUGAAAUGAAUUGACGGGG